rnacentral:rRNA from 1 species
AUUUUCCGCAAUGGGCGCAAGCCUGACGGAGCAACGCCGCGUGGGGGAGGACGCCCUUCGGGGUGUAAACCCCUUUUCUUGGGGACGACGAGCGACGGUACCCGAGGAAGAAGGCCCGGCUAACUACGUGCCAGCAGCCGCGGUAAUACGUAGGGGCCGAGCGUUGUCCGGAGUUACUGGGCGUAAAGCGCGCGCAGGCGGCCUCGCGCGCCCGGCGUGAAAGCCCCCGGCUCAACCGGGGAGGGUCGUCGGGGACGGCGGGGCUUGAGGGCGGUAGGGGCCGGUGGAAUUCCCGGUGUAGUGGUGAAAUGCGUAGAGAUCGGGAGGAACACCCGUGGCGAAGGCGGCCGGCUGGGCCGACCCUGACGCUGAGGCGCGAAGGCGUGGGGAGCGAACGGG